GUCUACAGCCAUGCCAUCCUGAAUGUGCCCGAUCCCGUCUGAUCUCGGAAGCUAAGCAGGACUGGGCCUGCUUCAUACUUGGAUGGGAGACCACCUAGGAAGACCAGGUGCUGUAGGCG
rnacentral:rRNA from 1 species